CUACUUCCCAACCUGACUGCAAUUUGGGGGGUGUUUAUCUGUCACCCAGGCUAGAGUGCAGUGGCGGGAUUACUGCUCACUGCAACCUCGACCUCCUGGGCUCAAGUGAUCCUCCCAGCUCAGCCUUCAAGAGUAGCUGGGACUGCAGACCUGCACCACCACGUCCAGCUGCCCGGCCCAAAAUGAUGGCCCCUCUUAACCCAAGGCAGGGGAUCUUCCUCCCAACUCCCUGGACCAAGGUGGCAUUUCCUGCACACCCCUCCAGGCCAAGAUGAUGCUCGCUCUCAACUCUGUAGGCCAAGGUGGCGUCUCCUCUUGACUCUCCAGACCUAAAGUGACACCCUUCAGGCACUUCGGGCCCAAUUCAGCCCAGUCCUGGUGCUUUCAGCGCCAGAUGACAGCACUUUGCAGAUAAGAACGAUAUGAUGUGUGGAUUUCACUACAUUUGGCUCCUGGAUGCUAUAAAAGGACUU
rnacentral:lncRNA from 10 species